UACGUAGGGGCCUAGCGUUGUCCGGAUUUAUUGGGCGUAAAGAGCUCGUAGGCGGUUUGUUGCGUCGACUGUGAAAACCCGUGGCUCAACCAUGUGGUCUGCAGUCGAUACGGGCAGGCUAGAAUUCGGUAGGGGAGACUGGAAUUCCUGGUGUAGCGGUGAAAUGCGCAGAUAUCAGGAGGAACACCGGUGGCGAAGGCGGGUCUCUGGGCCGAUAUUGACGCUGAGGAGCGAAAGCGUGGGGAGCGAACAGG
rnacentral:rRNA from 1 species